rnacentral:snoRNA from 1 species
CUGCAGCCAAUUAAGCCUAUCCUGCUCCUUUCCUCAUGGGGGCCCGGUGUGCAAUGGCUGCAAACCACAGCGUCCUUGGUGGUGUAUGCAGCCUGCUGCUUGUAUGGGUUGCUCUAAGGGACCUUGGAGACAGUC